CUUAUUAUCCAAUUUAUUUAUGAUUUUCAUGAUAUGAUAAAUUGUCUUUAUUAGAUCUUGCAAUCUAAGAUAGAUGUAUCAGGAAAGAAAAUAUGGCUUUUAAAACCAAGAGUUAGUAAGAGAGUCAUUUAAAGACUCUUGGUCCUGGUGCUCAGUCAGCACUCAGAGCUCUUGCCAGUUCGGGAAUGAAGAUUGGUCGUAUAGUACCUGCAGAAAGGGCGGUAGGUGGGGAAGGAGGCUGCAAUCGUCUCGGUGUCUUCCUGCGCAUGACCCUACCCUCUCGAUUACUUUCGGGACGACGGUGCUCUGGCGGGUAUAGUGUAAACGAUGACGUUGACGCUCCAAACAUCGACUUUAUCGGUGUAUGAAUUGGUAGUAAAAUCUCUAAAACAUCGACCGAAUACUUUUGGAUUGCUGACAUAAACGUUAGAGCACGUAAGGACCAUUUAUAGUUUUGAAAAUAGUUACUGUUCAAUGAAUUCAACACUCUCCUUUAAUUAAAUUGAAUAUGCAUUAAUA